UGGUGUUCUUAACUCAAGAGAAAUGUUUUCAAUUAUUUAUUCAUUAAAUUUUGAAAACCCGGCUAAGUGAAUCAUAGAAUAUUAAGCACUACACCAUGACUUAAGAUUAGAUUCAAGGAGACCUAUUAAGAAUAGAAUUUCUUGUAGGCUUUAUGAACCAAGGGGAUUAGCGCUGCUUUCCCAAGACGAGUUUAUGUGAUUAUGAUCUUCAGGCUUUGCCUAUCCAGGUUGGCUGGCCGGUGCUGACGGGACUGAGCUGAGGCUAGGGUUCAAUUUCUAUGUAGACUUCCGCUGUAGUAAUAACUCUUAUACAUCUUUUGUUUUCUCAACUUAAGAUGACUUCAUGUCGAGCUUCAAUUUAAAAUUUCUAGUUUCGAGUUAAUGAACGUCGGUUGUCAGAAACAUGAAACAAAACUUGUGAUCCAAAGGGGCCUAGCCCGACUCGUUAUCUUAUUAUUCGGGUUUUAACAAGGUUGUUCCUUGUUUAUUUCUAUGAAUUAGUUGCACCUCGAUUAUAUUUA